rnacentral:rRNA from 1 species
ACAUCCAAGGAAGGCAGCAGGCGCGUAAAUUACCCAAUCUUGAAACAAGGAGGUAGUGACAAUAAAUAACAAUGCCGGGCCUUUCUAGGUCUGGCAAUUGGAAUGAGAACAAUUUAAAUCCCUUAUCGAGGAUCAAUUGGGGGGCAAGUCUGGUGCCAGCAGCCGCGGUAAUUCCAGCUCCAAUAGCGUAUAUUAAAGUUGUUGCAGUUAAAAAGCUCGUAGUUGGACCUGUGCAUGUCCCUAGGUGUCCAUAUUGUUUGGUACGUUCUAGGGCGUGCAUCCUUGGGUGGAACCUGUGUGGCAUUAGGUUGUCGUGCAGGGGAUGCUCAUCGUUUACUGUGAAAAAAUUAGAGUGUUCAAAGCAGGCUUAUGCCGUUGAAUAUAUUAGCAUGGAAUAAUAAGAUAGGACCUUGGUACUAUUUUGUUGGUUUGCGCACCGAGUAAUGAUUAACAGGGACAGUUGGGGGUAUUCGUAUUCCAUUGUCAGAGGUGAAAUUCUUGGAUUUUUGGAAGACGAACUACUGCGAAAGCAUUUACCAAGGAUGUUUUCAUUAAUCAAGAACGAAAGUUAGGGGAUCGAAGAUGAUUAGAUACCAUCGUAGUCUUAACCAUAAACUAUGCCAACAAGGGAUUGGCGGGG